rnacentral:rRNA from 1 species
AUUGAACGCUGGCGGCAGGCUUAACACAUGCAAGUCGAGCGAGCGGCGGACGGGUGAGUCAUGUCUGGGAAACUGCCUGAUGGAGGGGGAUAACUACUGGAAACGGUCGCUAAUACCGCAUACCAUCAGAUGUGUCCAGUAGGGAUUAGUUAGUGGGUGGGGUAAUGGCUCACCUAGGCGACGAUCCCUAGCGGGUCUGAGAGGAUGAUCAGCAACCCUGGAACGGAGAAACGUUCCAGACUCCUAAGGGAGGGAGCAGUGGGGAAUAUUGAACAAUGGGCGUAAGCCUGAGGCAGCCAUGCCGCGUGGGUGAAGAAGGCAUUCGGGUUGUAAAGCACGUUCAGCGAGGAGGCGUUACUCGCAGAAGAAGCACCGGCUAACUCCGUGCCAGCAGCCGCGGUAAUAC